GAGAGAGGCUCGUCGCAGUGAAGACUGCUAAUCUUUACCCCUUUGGUUAAACUCCAAAGCUCACUCG
rnacentral:tRNA from 1 species